CGCGUCCUCGCUGGAAGCCGCUUGGUCCGACCUUGCAGCG
rnacentral:SRP_RNA from 1 species